UACGAAGGGGGCUAGCGUUGCUCGGAAUCACUGGGCGUAAAGCGCACGUAGGCGGAUUGCUAAGUCAGGGGUGAAAUCCUGGAGCUCAACUCCAGAACUGCCCUUGAUACUGGCGGUCUCGAGUCCGGGAGAGGUGAGUGGAACUGCGAGUGUAGAGGUGAAAUUCGUAGAUAUUCGGAAGAACACCAGUGGCGAAGGCGACUCGCUGGACAGACAUUGACGCUGAGGUGCGAAAGCGUGGGGAGCAAACAGG
rnacentral:rRNA from 1 species